UACAGAGGUCUCAAGCGUUGUUCGGAUUCAUUGGGCGUAAAGCGCGCGUAGGCGGCCGCGCAAGUCGGAUGUGAAAACCCGGGGCUCAACCCCGGGCGUGCAUUCGAUACUGCGUGGCUCGAGACAGGUAGGGGAGAUCGGAAUUCCUGGUGUAGCGGUGAAAUGCGCAGAUAUCAGGAGGAACACCGGUGGCGAAGGCGGAUCUCUGGGCCUGUUCUGACGCUGAGGCGCGAAAGCUAGGGGAGCGAACAGG
rnacentral:rRNA from 1 species